rnacentral:rRNA from 1 species
UACGGCGAGUGAAGCGGCAACAGCUCAAAUUUGAAAUCUGGCCUCGGCCCGAGUUGUAAUUUGCAGAGGAUGCUUCGGGCGCGGUGCCUACUGAGUUCCCUGGAACGGGACGCCGUAGAGGGUGAGAGCCCCGUACGGUAGGACGCCUAGCCUGUGUGAAGCUCCUUCGACGAGUCGAGUAGUUUGGGAAUGCUGCUCAAAAUGGGAGGUAUAUCUCUUCUAAAGCUAAAUACCGGCCAGAGACCGAUAGCGCACAAGUAGAGUGAUCGAAAGAUGAAAAGCACCUUGAAAAGGGGGUUAAACAGCACGUGAAAUUGUUGAAAGGGAAGGGCCCAUGACCAGACUUGUGUCCGGCGGAUCACCCAGCGUUCUCGCUGGGGCACUCCGCCGGGUCCAGGCCAGCAUCGGUUCUCGCCGGGGGAUAAAGGCUUGGGGAACGUAGCUCCUCCGGGAGUGUUAUAGCCCCUUGCGUAAUACCCUGGCGGGGACCGAGGUACGCGCUCCGUAAGGAUGCUGGCGUAAUGGUCAUCAGCCACCCGUCUUGAAACACGGACCA